UUUUAUUUGAGAGUUUGAUCCUGGCUCAGGAUGAACGCUGGCGGCGUGCCUAACACAUGCAAGUUGAGCGAUUUACUUCGGUAAAGAGCGGCGGACGGGUGAGUAACGCGUGGGUAACCUACCCUGUACACACGGAUAACAUACCGAAAGGUAUGCUAAUACGGGAUAAUAUAUUUGAGAGGCAUCUCUUGAAUAUCAAAGGUGAGCCAGUACAGGAUGGACCCGCGUCUGAUUAGCUAGUUGGUAAGGUAACGGCUUACCAAGGCGACGAUCAGUAGCCGACCUGAGAGGGUGAUCGGCCACAUUGGAACUGAGACACGGUCCAAACUCCUACGGGAGGCAGCAGUGGGGAAUAUUGCACAAUGGGCGAAAGCCUGAUGCAGCAACGCCGCGUGAGUGAUGAAGGCCUUCGGGUCGUAAAACUCUGUCCUCAAGGAAGAUAAUGACGGUACUUGAGGAGGAAGCCCCGGCUAACUACGUGCCAGCAGCCGCGGUAAUACGUAGGGGGCUAGCGUUAUCCGGAUUUACUGGGCGUAAAGGGUGCGUAGGCGGUCUUUCAAGUCAGGAGUGAAAGGCUACGGCUCAACCGUAGUAAGCUCUUGAAACUGGGAGACUUGAGUGCAGGAGAGGAGAGUGGAAUUCCUAGUGUAGCGGUGAAAUGCGUAGAUAUUAGGAGGAACACCAGUUGCGAAGGCGGCUC
rnacentral:rRNA from 1 species